AUUCAAAGACUCUCUUUGAAAGAAAACAAACUUUUAUUAAAUCAAUGAUAAUGGGUCAUUUACAAUGAAUUCGAGACUGAGAUUUUAUAGGCUCAUAAACAACGGUCUAAAGAAGCUAAUUGAGGAAAAUAAUCGAAAAAUAUAAAGAAUAUGGCCGUUGGAGCUUUGAUGACGAAAUCGGCCAAAUAAGGAAAUGUCUUGAGCUUUGUAUCUAGAGAGCUUGGGAAGAAAGGUGAGACUUCUUGGAACAUUCUGGGACGUGUGGAGAGUCUUCAAAACGCAGCAUAUUUGGUAGAUAAAGAGCCGUUGGUGGUUUAAAGCUCCUAGUGUGAAUGCAUCCAGAAAAGGAAAGUAGAAUUGUGAAAGGAUCCGCCUGAUCCUAUGGGUUCUGGUGCAUGGGAAGAAUUCUUCUAGAUGUCUAAGAGUCUCUCCUGGUCGCCAAUGAUAGUUUUGGAGUGAACCAAAUAUGGAAUGAUCCAGUUUUGGCAACAUAUGGCCCGCGGGUAAGGCCAAAUGAGUAACUCCUAAAACAACUCGAACCCGGGGUGAUUUAGCUCGCCCACUCUUCAUAAAAUGUGCAUAAUCAUGGUGAAUGUCAAAUCUAGGUCGAGGAAAUGUGACGUUGGGUCGAUGAUAUUGUAGUUGGCUUGAUCCGGGUGGAUCUUCUUGGCGCUCGAGUUGAUUGGUUCGAUAGUUUUUGAUUCCGUACGUCUCGCCCAAAUAUCUUGAAAUAUGUAACUUUAUGGUGAAUAUUCAAUAUGGGUCGGGAAAAGUCUUGAUCCGGUCGGUGGAUUUGAGUUUUGUGUGCUCCGGGUGAGUCAUUGUGGACCAACUUCAAUUCGGCAUGGUGAUUUAUGAUUACAGAUGAAUCAUUACUCUUCUUAGGAUAGAUUUCUUUGUAAAUUUCCAAUCCUAGGCCAGGUUCUUGAUCAGAACUUGGUUUGCGCCAAAAUUCUCCUUUUUGGUCCGGUUUGGUUUGGUUGAGGAUUGAACCGGCUGGUCUAUUUAACUCCGGGUCUGGUUUGGUUCCGAUGUCCACAUCAUACCCUCCCUCUUCAAAAAGUUUUGACCUCAAAACUGUUUCACCUGCACCAAGAGAAAACAAGUUAGGUUUCAUUCGCUUUUGGGAGUUUAGAUAGUUACCUCGGCUUUGAUUCGUUGGAGAAUGUUGGGAUGAGUCGGGUGGUUUAUCCUUGUUUAUAAUGUGACAUUUAAACACAUUUUCUUGAUGCUGGGACAAAUUUGUAUCCUUCUUCGUGAAAUCUCCUAUUCCACUCUUUAUUUCUCCAUGAAGUUCUCCUUGAAUCUUGAUAUGUUGAGGUGAAUCCGGCGGCUCCUCUUUGACCAGUAUAGUGUCAAUGACACGUCUAGCAUAUCCUUUUGUUGGCGUGAGCAAAACUGACUCCAUAAUGCCUUGGUUAUGUUGUUCACUUGAGACUACGAUUUCUUUUGAUGGUACAUCUCCUUGGUAUAAUUGCAUUUCACCAUUGUACCUGCACCUCUAUAGACACUAAAAGGCAAGAAAAAGUGCAUUAUACUUGAAAUUGAAAUUUUAAAAACAUAGAAUUGGAGACUACGAAUUAAUAUGAAAUGAUUCCCGUAUUUAUCAAAGUCUUGAAUCACACUUACUUGGGAGAUAUGGCAAUGAUUAUGCACGAAUUUCAUCUUAAUAAAAGCCUCUUUUUGGUUGAUAAAGCUCUGUUCUAGACCGUGGGGUGGUGGUUGUUCCUCUAGGAUAGCUUGGUUACCUUCGGCUUCUCGAAAACUUUGUUGUGACAAUGCUCUCGAGUGGUCCUCUUCCUUACCUAUACCUUUUUCAACUUCUUUUUGGCAAAACAAGUGUAUUAUCAUAGAAUUUAAAGGUUUAAAAUCAGAAAGAUUAGGGUGAAGACUUACCUUCGGGAUAAUUUCAUGUUUUGUUUCCUUAGACAACAUGGUGUGUCGAUCUUGCUUUUGAUCCGUGGUAAAGACUUCUAUUUCUGGUUCUUUUCUUUCAACCAUGUAUUCCUCCUUAGUUUCUGGACCUGUUUCAAUUCCCUUGGACAAAGACAAGUGCAUGAUACUAGUAUUUAAAAUUUUUAAAUCUGUUUCAACUAGUUUUUCUUUUACCUUGGGAUUUUCUGUUUUUGGCUCCAUGAGGGUUACUACUCGUCUAGUUGGGCACUCCUUUGCUUUGUGUCCUCUGUUUUGACAUCGAUAACAAGUCACUUCAAAUAAAUUCAAAGUACUAGAAGACUUACCUUGAUUCGUUUUGCCUUGUGGUUCACAUAAAGACGUGAUGAUUGAGUUUUGUUGAAUCUCCUUCACUUGAACAGGUUUCUUAGCCUCUGAUUUCUUUGAUAAAGUGUUUGGGAACACUUUUAUUGGCUCAGGGAGAGGGAAAGCAUUCUUGUUCACCACUUUGGAGCUCGACUUUUGUUGAUUCUGCCUCUUUGAAUUCGUUGGUGUUACACCUUUGUCAUUGUGGUGAGCUUGGGCAGAAGCGUUCUUCACAAAUUCACCAUACAUGAGCUUUCUCAUCUCCUUCCAAGAGUAAGCUAGAUCCUUGAAGUGAAUACGUGUAGUCUCUAUCUCAUCCCACCAAUCAUAAGCUCCUCCGGUUAAAGCAUCUUCCGCAUAGGAUGUUUUCUUUUUCUCCGGGACGUGGUACCUUUCAAACCAGUCCAUUAAGGCUGCUUCCCACCGUAGGUAUGCUUGUGGUCCCUCCUCAAUUCUUCUUCCUAUCACAAAACAAAGAAAAAGAAAGUGUAUCAAACUUCUAAUAACCAAAUAUGGCAAGAAAGAGUUAAGACACAAAAAAAUAUGGAAAUUUUGAUAUUUUUAUUUUCUUAAUUUAAAAUAAACUCUAAAAAUUCACACAAUAAAAGGAAAACUGACUUUUAUUUUUCUUUUAUGAUUUUUAACAAAUAAAAAUACGAAAUUUAAUUAAAAUAACAAAAAUAUGAAUUUUUAUGGGUUUUCCUUUAAAAACGAAAUUAAAAUUGAAAACAAAACCAAAUAUUUUUUUUUUGUUUUUAUAAUUAUACUGAAGCAAAUUCACAAGAACAAAAGGAAGAAAUAAAUUUUUAUUUUGUUUUUUUUUUAUUUAAUAAAAAUUAAAACAACAAAAACUGAAAAAUCGAAAAGAUAAAGGUUGGAUGAACACAACCUGGAUUUGAUAGGAGCUUUGAGCUCUGAUACCAGAUGAUAUAAGAUUGGAAUCCACCAAAUCAUCACAAGAUGUCAAGAGUUGAAAAGCUUUCACGCGGAAAUGGGCGUUGGUAGAGAUGGAGAUGGAGUUUGCGAUUGAUUCCACAAUCACACACGAACAAGAAGACUUGAUUCCACAAGUAAUCUGAUCCGUAAUCAAUAGAAAAGAAGUGAUUCCACACUUAGAUUCUAAAGAAAAGAACAAGAACAAUUCAAAGACUCUCUUUGAAAGAAAACAAACUUUUAUUAAAUCAAUGAUAAUGGGUCAUUUACAAUGAAUUCGAGACUGAGAUUUUAUAGGCUCAUAAACAACGGUCUAAAGAAGCUAAUUGAGGAAAAUAAUCGAAAAAUAUAAAGAAUAUGGCCGUUGGAGCUUUGAUGACGAAAUCGGCCAAAUAAGGAAAUGUCUUGAGCUUUGUAUCUAGAGAGCUUGGGAAGAAAGGUGAGACUUCUUGGAACAUUCUGGGACGUGUGGAGAGUCUUCAAAACGCAGCAUAUUUGGUAGAUAAAGAGCCGUUGGUGGUUUAAAGCUCCUAGUGUGAAUGCGUCCAGAAAAGGAAAGUAGAAUUGUGAAAGGAUCCGCCUGAUCCUAUGGGUUCUGGUGCAUGGAAAGAAUUCUUCUAGAUGUCUAAGAGUCUCUCCUGGUCGCCAAUGAUAGUUUUGGAGUGAACCAAAUAUGGAAUGAUCCAGUUUUGGCAACAUAUGGCCCGCGGGUAAGGCCAAAUGAGUAACUCCUAAAACAACUCGAACCCGGGGUGAUUUAGCUGGCCCAUUCUUCAUAAAAUGUGCAUAAUAAUGGUGAAUGUCAAAUCUAGGUCGAGGAAAUGUGACGUUGGGUCGAUGAUAUUGUAGUUGGCUUGAUCCGGGUGGGUCUUCUUGGCGCUCGAGUUGAUUGGUUCGAUAGUUUUUGAUUCCGUCUCGCCCAAAUGUCUUGUAAUAUGUAACUUGAUGGUGAAUAUUCAAUAUGGGUCGGGAAAAGUCUUGAUCCGGUCGGUGGAUUUGAGUUUUGUGUGCUCCGGGUGAGUCAUUGUGGACCAACUUCAAUUCGGCAUGGUGAUUUAUGAUUCCAGCUGAAUCAUUACUCUUCUUAGGAUAGAUUUCUUUGUAAAUUUCCAAUCCUAGGCCAGGUGCUUGAUCAGAACUUGGUUUGCGCCAAAAUUCUCCUUUUUGGUCCGGUUUGGUUUGGUUGAGGAUUGAACCGGCUGGUCUAUUUAACUCCGGGUCUGGUUUGGUUCCGAUGUCCACAUCA
rnacentral:lncRNA from 1 species